UACGAAGGGGGCUAGCGUUGUUCGGAAUCACUGGGCGUAAAGCGCUCGUAGGCGGAUUUUUAAGUCAGGGGUGAAAUCCCGAGGCUCAACCUCGGAACUGCCUUUGAUACUGGGAAUCUCGAGUCCGGGAGAGGUGAGUGGAACUGCGAGUGUAGAGGUGAAAUUCGUAGAUAUUCGCAAGAACACCAGUGGCGAAGGCGGCUCACUGGCCCGGUACUGACGCUGAGGAGCGAAAGCGUGGGGAGCAAACAGG
rnacentral:rRNA from 1 species